rnacentral:rRNA from 1 species
UACGUAGGGGGCAAGCGUUGUCCGGAAUUAUUGGGCGUAGAGCGCGUGUAGGCGGCCAGAUAAGUCCGCUGUGAAAUCUCGAGGCUCAACUUCGAGCUGUCGGUGGAAACUGUCUGGCUAGAGUCCGGAAGAGGAGAAUGGAAUUCCUGGUGUAGCGGUGAAAUGCGCAGAUAUCAGGAAGAACACCCGUGGCGAAGGCGGUUCUCUGGGACGGUACUGACGCUGAGACGCGAAAGCGUGGGGAGCGAACAGG